rnacentral:rRNA from 1 species
AGUGAACGCUGGCGGUAGGCCUAACACAUGCAAGUCGAACGGCAGCACAGUAAGAGCUUGCUCUUACGGGUGGCGAGUGGCGGACGGGUGGGGAAUACAUCGGAAUCUACUUUUUCGUGGGGGAUAACGUAGGGAAACUUACGCUAAUACCGCAUACGACCUACGGGUGAAAGCAGGGGAUCUUCGGACCUUGCGCGAUUGAAUGAGCCGAUGUCGGAUUAGCUAGUUGGCGGGGUAAAGGCCCACCAAGGCGACGAUCCGUAGCUGGUCUGAGAGGAUGAUCAGCCACACUGGAACUGAGACACGGUCCAGACUCCUACGGGAGGCAGCAGUGGGGAAUAUUGGACAAUGGGCGCAAGCCUGAUCCAGCCAUACCGCGUGGGCGAAGAAGGCCUUCGGGUUGUAAAGCCCUUUUGUUGGGAAAGAAAAGCAGCAGGUUAAUACCCCGCUGUUCUGACGGUACCCAAAGAAUAAGCACCGGCUAACUUCGUG